AGUGAACGCUGGCGGUAGGCCUAACACAUGCAAGUCGAACGGCAGCACAGUAAGAGCUUGCUCUUACGGGUGGCGAGUGGCGGACGGGUGAGGAAUACAUCGGAAUCUACUUUUUCGUGGGGGAUAACGUAGGGAAACUUACGCUAAUACCGUAUACGACCUACGGGUGAAAGCAGGGGAUCUUCGGACCUUGCGCGAUUGAAUGAGCCGAUGUUGGAUUCGCUCGUUGGCGGGGUAAAGGCGCACCACGGCGACGAUCCGUAGCUGGUCUGAGAGGAUGAUCAGCCACAUUGGAACUGAGACACGGCCCAGACACCUACGGGAGGCAGCAGUGGGGAAUAUUGCACGAGGGGGGCAAGCCUGAUCCAGCCAUACCGCGUGGGUGAAGAAGGCCUUCGGGUUGUAAAGCCAUUUUGUUGGGAAAGAAAAGCAGCAGGUUUAUACCCCGCGGUUCUGACGGUACCCAAAGAAUAAGCACCGGCUAACUUCGUG
rnacentral:rRNA from 1 species